rnacentral:rRNA from 1 species
UGCCCACUGAUUUAAUUAUUGAAGGGCUGCAGUAUUUUGACUGUACAAAGGUAGCAUAAUCAUUAGUCAUUUAAUUGAUGACUUGUAUGAAGGAUUGGAUGAAAUAUAGACUGUCUUUAAUUUAAUAUUUAGAAUUUAAUUUUUAAGUUAAAAAGCUUAAAUAAAUUAAAAAGACGAGAAGACCCUAUAGAGUUUAAUUAUUUAUUUAAAAUUUAUAUUUUUAUAAAUUUAUUAAUUUAAUUUUGAUAAAUAAUUUUGUUGGGGUGAUAGAAAAAUUAAAUUAACUUUUUUUUUUAAUAACAUAAAUAAGUGAAUUAAUGAUCCAAUAUUAUUGAUUAUAAGAAAAAAUUACCUUAGGGAUAACAGCGUAAUUUUAUUUUUUAGUUCAAAUAAGAAAUAAAGUUUGCGACCUCGAUGUUGGAUUAAGAUAAAAUUUAAAUGCAGAAGUUUAAAAUUUUGA